GAUGAAGAACGUAGCGAAAUGCGAUAAGUAAUGUGAAUUGCAGAAUUCAGUGAACCAUCGAAUCUUUGAACGCACAUUGCGCCCGGCAGUAAUCUGCCGGGCAUGCCUGUCCGAGCGUCAUUUCUCCCCUCGAGCGCAGCUUUCCCCCCCGGGGGAGGGCCGCGCCCGGUGUUGGGGCGCUACGGAGGAGCCCAGCGCUCCCCCGUAGGCCCCGAAAUGUAGUGGCGGUCCCGCCGCGGCGCCCCCUGCGUAGUAGUUUUACAACUCGCAUCGGGUCCCGGCGGAGGCCAGCCGUCAAACCCCCCAACUUCAAUAGUUUGACCUCGGAUCUGGUAGGGUUACCCGCUGAACUUAAGCAUAUCAAUAAGCGGAGGA
rnacentral:misc_RNA from 1 species